UACGAAGGGGGCUAGCGUUGCUCGGAAUCACUGGGCGUAAAGGGUGCGUAGGCGGGUCUUUAAGUCAGGGGUGAAAUCCUGGAGCUCAACUCCAGAACUGCCUUUGAUACUGAAGAUCUUGAGUUCGGGAGAGGGCGGUGGAAUUCCGGGUGUAGUGGUGAAAUGCGUAGAUAUCCGGAGGAACAUCAGUGGCGAAGGCGGCCUGCUGGGCUGUUGCUGACGCUGAGGCG
rnacentral:rRNA from 1 species